rnacentral:rRNA from 1 species
AACGAACGUUAGCGGCGCGCUUAACACAUGCAAGUCGUGCGAGAAAGGGAGCAAUCCCCGGUAAAGCGGCGCACGGGUGAGUAACACGUAGGUAACGUGCCCCCAGGUGGUGGAUAACCUUCCGAAAGGAGGGCUAAUACAGCAUAAGACCACGGCUUCGAAAGGAGCUGAGGUCAAAGUCGGCCUCUAUUCAUAAGCUGACGCCAGGGGAUCGGCCUGCGGCCCAUCAGGUAGUUGGUAGGGUAAUGGCCUACCAAGCCUAAGACGGGUAGCUGGUCUGAGAGGAUGAUCAGCCACACUGGAACUGAGACACGGUCCAGACUCCUACGGGAGGCAGCAGUGGGGAAUCUUGCGCAAUGGGCGAAAGCCUGACGCAGCGACGCCGCGUGAGUGAUGAAGGCC